GUUACCAUGGCGCAGGAGGUGCGUUCCUGUUCCAAACGGCGUCUCAGGGACGUAUGUUGUGGGUUCGACUCCCACUGGGCAACU